rnacentral:rRNA from 1 species
GCCAGACUCCUACGGGAGGCAGCAGUGAGGAAUAUUGGUCAAUGGCCGAGAGGCUGAACCAGCCAAGUCGCGUGAGGGAAGAAUGUCCUAUGGAUUGUAAACCUCUUUUGUCAGGGAGCAAAGUCACCCACGUGUGGGUGUUGGAGAGUACCCGGAGAAAAAGCAUCGGCUAACUCCGUGCCAGCAGCCGCGGUAAUACGGAGGAUGCGAGCGUUAUCCGGAUUUAUUGGGUUUAAAGGGUGCGUAGGCGGGCUUUUAAGUCAGCGGUAAAAAUUCGGGGCCCAACCCCGUCCGGCCGUUGAAACUGGGGGCCUUGAGUGGGCGAGAAGAAGGCGGAAUGCGUGAUGUAGGGGUGAAAUGCAUAGAUAUCACGCAGAACUCCGAUUGCGAAGGCAGCAUACCGGCGCUCAACUGACGCUCAUGCACGAAAGUGUGGGUAUCGAACAGGAUUAGAUACCCCUGUA